rnacentral:rRNA from 1 species
AUGGGCCCUCAACACCCAUCAAUGCAUGGUGUUCUUCGACUGAUCGUUACUCUCGAUGGUGAGGAUGUUAUUGAUUGUGAACCCAUAUUAGGCUAUUUACACAGAGGAAUGGAAAAAAUCAUGGAAAACCGAACUAUUAUACAAUACUUACCUUAUGUAACAAGGAUAUAG